AAACAUACUUGGCAUAAAUGAAACAUCCAUGGUUAAUAAGAGCAUGCUUCAUUUCUCUUAUGACAUGCAAACAGGCAGCAUCCAUUCUACUACAGCAGGCUUCAUGAAAUAUCAAGUAGAGAGUAGGAUCAUCUGUACCAUCCCUGAGGGAAUGUUCUGCUGCAGUUUUUUUUUUUUGCUCAGUCGUGAUAAGCUUCUGCAACACUUUCUUACUGUAUUAAAAACGGAGAACACUC